ACUCACAGUUUGAAAUGAGAAAAUGGCCAGUCGUCAAAGUGGAUGUAAUAAGACUGCAACGAUAAGUUUUUCUCGAACUCAUUUCUGCCAAUCGGUCAGAAACUGAAAUGGACGGGUAAUAUUUCCACAAGGAACAGAGGGGCUGAAUGACGAACACAAAGCUCCCAGUCUUGUUGUCCAAACCACACCGCGCGGUAACCACUGCUCGGAUCUGAUUGGCGACUGGCUGAACCAAUCGCGUUCAAGUUCUCGUGUCGGAAGAAAAAAAGAAAUGAAUGUAGAACAGCGAUGAGAGCCAAAUCCUGUACUCGGUCGUGUUUAUAGGUGUACAAACUUCUCAUGCGUUCAAAACACAGCGCGAGGAUACGAUAGAAUGGAAGUGAACGUUUGCUCUGUGCUUUAGCCGAGAAUCGUCGAAGAUGGCCGGAUCACCCCAGCGAAGAUCAUCUAGACAUUUAUUCAGAACGACACCUUCUUCCCGGAGACGUGCUUGAACCCAAACGCCUUGUGCAACACCCCUCAUUCAUCAACUGUGAAGGACACGCCGAUCCUACUAUAAAUAACUGCUCCGGACUGGGAUUUUUCUUCCUCCCUCUACUGACAUCUUGUUCUUCAUCUUCAGCUUCAGCUUCCGCUUCCGCUUCAGCGCCGCGCCAUAAUUUAAGUGGCCAACUGUCUAUCAAGGAAAACGGACAUAUAUUUUUCUUUUUGUCAAGCGCGAGGGAGAAACGCAGUUUUGAGGGACGAUCUCCUCAGUGAAUCCUGGUGGCGUUUAAGUUUUUUUAAGAGAACCGGUCCGUAGCGCUUGAUAUUAUUACUUUUGUGGGAAGUGAUAUUUUGUAUAGUUUUUGAAACGAACUUCGACUACAUUGCUCAAUAUUGUAGAUGUGAUAGUUGCUUUAGAAGACAAACAGGACAUCCAUUUUUAAGCGUCUUUCACACCUAAAGAACAACAACCUAGCUAUCUUCGGAAGAAGACAGAAAGAUUGAGAAAUUAAAAGAAACUUGGGUCCAAGCGUCUUUCACCAACAGAGCAACAAACAACCCAACUUUAUGCUGAGAAACAAAGAGACAAAGUUUGACAACUCCAGAGAAAUUUGUUAAUUUAAAAAAGUGAUCUCUAAGAGCCUACAAAGUGAAAAAUUAGCUGUUGGCUCUGCAAGUGAAUACAUGAAUCCCUCAUGGCACGACUUCUACUAGAUGCUAUCUGCAACGGGGAUGAGGUGCUUGCUCACGAGCUCAUUCUCAGUGGUACCUACGGCUGUGUGGACAGUCAGACUUCACGCCGAGAUGGCACCGCCCUUUUCUUUUGCUGCUCCAGUGGCUACUUGGGCUUGGCCCAGAUGCUAUUGGCUAGAGGCGCCAGUGUACACGCCCAGAACAAGAACCUGGCCACGCCCCUUCAUGCAGCAUCGGAUAGAGGCUAUCUUAGCAUUGUCAAGUGAGUACAAGUUGUGUUUUUGUUGAAAAAUGGCUCGUGUGUUGGCAUACAUAUAUGAAUGUGUUGAGCUGAGGAGAACAAUCGGUUAGGAAAGAAAAAGACAAA